rnacentral:tRNA from 1 species
UCCUUGAUGGUCCAGUGGUUAGGACUCUCUGCCUUCCAUUGCAGGGGACACAGGUUCGAUCCCUGGUUGGGGAA